CGACACGGAUGACAAGGAAAGUGCCAUCGUACAUCCUCUGGGUGUCUUGAGGAGCUGGUCUUUGGAUAAUGCUGAGCAGGUCUUUCUUUCUGGUAAAGAUUAUCAUUACAGUGAAGUAAAAGAAUUUAACAGACAGAUUGACAAACAACUGACGAAAGAAGAGAGACGAUUCAAUAGCGGAUGCCCUUCCAGCUGCAACCCAGUACUGGGAAACACCCAUUUACACUCAUACACUUGAACAUGGGGAGAACCUGCAAACUCCACACAGAAAUGACCACUGGCCCAGCCGGGGCUUGAACCAGCAACCUUCUUGCUGUGAGGCGACGGUGCUAACCACUGUGCUGCCCUAUGUGCUCUAUGCGGGUGAGUGGGAUUGACAAACCACUUGGAGGACACACUCUUGCUGUCUUAAUGCACCAGACAUUUUGUUAUAAAUCAUGUGCGUUUCAUGUUUAUUCAUAUAACUGCUAUUUUAUCUCUUAGCACUUCAUUUUUGUCUUGAUAUUUAAUAUCUCUUGUUUAAAUACACUAUGAACAGCAGAUGCGCUAAUUAUUUUCCUUGUUCCCUAUUUCCACCUGGGGAUAUUCAUCCAGAGGCCUCUAGAGAUCGUGACCUGUGAAGAGAUGAUGCCACCAUAGAGGACUUCUA
rnacentral:lncRNA from 1 species